CAUCCCUUAAACAAUGAAGGAUGACGAAGGUGAUCAGAGUAUUCAGAGUGAUUUCAUAAUGGAGGGUCUAGCAAAAAGUGUAGCAAAGGACAUAGCCUCAAGCUCACCCAUGGUAAAAUCCACUUCCACAACUAGAGAAUGGUCUUCAAAAGGACGAAA